GAUGAACGCUAGCUACAGGCUUAACACAUGCGAGUCGAGGGGAAACGGCAUUGAGUGCUUGCACUCUUUGGACGUCGACCGGCGCACGGGUGAGUAACGCGUAUCCAACCUUCCCAUUACUGUGGGAUAACCUGCCGAAAGGCAGACUAAUACCGCAUAGUCUUCGAUGACGGCAUCAGAUUUGAAGUAAAGAUUUAUCGGUAAUGGAUGGGGAUGCGUCUGAUUAGCUUGUUGGCGGGGUAACGGCCCACCAAGGCUACGGUCAGUAGGGGUUCUGAGAGGAAGGUCCCCCACAUUGGAACUGAGACACGGUCCAAACUCCUACGGGAGGCAGCAGUGAGGAAGAUUGGUCAAUGGACGGAAGUCUGAACCAGCCAAGUAGCGUGCAGGAUGACGGCCCUAUGGGUUGUAAACUGCUUUUGUAUGGGGAUAAAGUUAGGGACGUGUCCCUAUUUGCAGGUACCAUACGAAUAAGGACCGGCUAAUUCCGU
rnacentral:rRNA from 1 species